GGUUAAGCGACUAAGCGUACACGGUGGAUGCCCUGGCAGUCAGAGGCGAUGAAGGACGUGCUAAUCUGCGAAAAGCGUCGGUAAGGUGAUAUGAACCGUUAUAACCGGCGGUGUCCGAAUGGGGAAACCCAGUGCAAUUCGUUGCACUAUCGUUAACUGAAUACAUAGGUUAACGAGGCGAACCGGGGGAACUGAAACAUCUAAGUACCCCGAGGAAAAGAAAUCAACCGAGAUUCCCCCAGUAGCGGCGAGCGAACGGGGAGCAGCCCAGAGUCUGAAUCAGCUUGUGUGUUAGUGGAACGGUCUGGAAAGUCCGACGGUACAGGGUGAUAGUCCCGUACACCAAAAUGCACAGGCUGUGAACUCGAAGAGUAGGGCGGGACACGUGGUAUCCUGUCUGAAUAUGGGGGGACCAUCCUCCAAGGCUAAAUACUCCUGACUGACCGAUAGUGAACCAGUACCGUGAGGGAAAGGCGAAAAGAACCCCGGCGAGGGGAGUGAAAAAGAACCUGAAACCGUGUACGUACAAGCAGUGGGAGCACCUUCGGGUGUGACUGCGUACCUUUUGUAUAAUGGGUCAGCGACUUAUAUUCUGUAGCAAGGUUAACCGUAUAGGGGAGCCGCAGGGAAACCGAGUCUUAACUGGGCGUUAAGUUGCAGGGUAUAGACCCGAAACCCGGUGAUCUAGCCAUGGGCAGGUUGAAGGUUGGGUAACACUAACUGGAGGACCGAACCGACUAAUGUUGAAAAAUUAGCGGAUGACUUGUGGCUGGGGGUGAAAGGCCAAUCAAACCGGGAGAUAGCUGGUUCUCCCCGAAAGCUAUUUAGGUAGCGCCUCGUGAAUUCAUCUUCGGGGGUAGAGCACUGUUUCGGCUAGGGGGUCAUCCCGACUUACCAACCCGAUGCAAACUACGAAUACCGAAGAAUGUUAUCACGGGAGACACACGGCGGGUGCUAACGUCCGUCGUGAAGAGGGAAACAACCCAGACCGCCAGCUAAGGUCCCAAAGUCAUGGUUAAGUGGGAAACGAUGUGGGAAGGCACAGACAGCCAGGAUGUUGGCUUAGAAGCAGCCAUCAUUUAAAGAAAGCGUAAUAGCUCACUGGUCGAGUCGGCCUGCGCGGAAGAUGUAACGGGGCUAAACCAUGCACCGAAGCUGCGGCAGCGACACUAUGUGUUGUUGGGUAGGGGAGCGUUCUGUAAGCCUGCGAAGGUGUGCUGUGAGGCAUGCUGGAGGUAUCAGAAGUGCGAAUGCUGACAUAAGUAACGAUAAAGCGGGUGAAAAGCCCGCUCGCCGGAAGACCAAGGGUUCCUGUCCAACGUUAAUCGGGGCAGGGUGAGUCGACCCCUAAGGCGAGGCCGAAAGGCGUAGUCGAUGGGAAACAGGUUAAUAUUCCUGUACUUGGUGUUACUGCGAAGGGGGGACGGAGAAGGCUAUGUUAGCCGGGCGACGGUUGUCCCGGUUUAAGCAUGUAGGCUGGUUGUCCAGGCAAAUCCGGAUAAUCAAGGCUGAGGUGUGAUGACGAGGCACUACGGUGCUGAAGUAACAAAUGCCCUGCUUCCAGGAAAAGCCUCUAAGCAUCAGGUAACAUCAAAUCGUACCCCAAACCGACACAGGUGGUCAGGUAGAGAAUACCAAGGCGCUUGAGAGAACUCGGGUGAAGGAACUAGGCAAAAUGGUGCCGUAACUUCGGGAGAAGGCACGCUGGUGUGUAGGUGAAGUCCCUGCGGAUGGAGCUGAGACCAGUCGAAGAUACCAGCUGGCUGCAACUGUUUAUUAAAAACACAGCACUGUGCAAACACGAAAGUGGACGUAUACGGUGUGACGCCUGCCCGGUGCCGGAAGGUUAAUUGAUGGGGUUAUCCGUAAGGAGAAGCUCUUGAUCGAAGCCCCGGUAAACGGCGGCCGUAACUAUAACGGUCCUAAGGUAGCGAAAUUCCUUGUCGGGUAAGUUCCGACCUGCACGAAUGGCGUAAUGAUGGCCAGGCUGUCUCCACCCGAGACUCAGUGAAAUUGAACUCGCUGUGAAGAUGCAGUGUACCCGCGGCAAGACGGAAAGACCCCGUGAACCUUUACUAUAGCUUGACACUGAACAUUGAGCCUUGAUGUGUAGGAUAGGUGGGAGGCUUUGAAGCGUGGACGCCAGUCUGCGUGGAGCCAACCUUGAAAUACCACCCUUUAAUGUUUGAUGUUCUAACGUUGGCCCCUGACCGGGGUUGCGGACAGUGUCUGGUGGGUAGUUUGACUGGGGCGGUCUCCUCCCAAAGCGUAACGGAGGAGCACGAAGGUUAGCUAAUCCUGGUCGGACAUCAGGAGGUUAGUGCAAUGGCAUAAGCUAGCUUGACUGCGAGCGUGACGGCGCGAGCAGGUGCGAAAGCAGGUCAUAGUGAUCCGGUGGUUCUGAAUGGAAGGGCCAUCGCUCAACGGAUAAAAGGUACUCCGGGGAUAACAGGCUGAUACCGCCCAAGAGUUCAUAUCGACGGCGGUGUUUGGCACCUCGAUGUCGGCUCAUCACAUCCUGGGGCUGAAGUAGGUCCCAAGGGUAUGGCUGUUCGCCAUUUAAAGUGGUACGCGAGCUGGGUUUAGAACGUCGUGAGACAGUUCGGUCCCUAUCUGCCGUGGGCGCUGGAGAAUUGAGGGGGGCUGCUCCUAGUACGAGAGGACCGGAGUGGACGCAUCACUGGUGUUCGGGUUGUCAUGCCAAUGGCACUGCCCGGUAGCUAAAUGCGGAAGAGAUAAGUGCUGAAAGCAUCUAAGCACGAAACUUGCCCCGAGAUGAGUUCUCCCUGAGACUUUAAGUCUCCUGAAGGAACGUUGAAGACGACGACGUUGAUAGGCCGGGUGUGUAAGCGCAGCGAUGCGUUGAGCUAACCGGUACUAAUGAACCGUGAGGCUUAACCUU
rnacentral:rRNA from 1 species